rnacentral:rRNA from 1 species
GAUGAACGCUGGCGGCGUGCCUAACACAUGCAAGUCGAGCGAACCCUUCGGGGUGAGCGGCGGACGGGUGAGUAACGCGUGGGUAACCUGCCCUGUACACACGGAUAACAUACCGAAAGGUAUGCUAAUACGGGAUAACAUAUGAAAGUCGCAUGGCUUUUGUAUCAAAGCUCCGGCGGUACAGGAUGGACCCGCGUCUGAUUAGCUAGUUGGUAAGGUAACGGCUUACCAAGGCAACGAUCAGUAGCCGACCUGAGAGGGUGAUCGGCCACAUUGGAACUGAGACACGGUCCAAACUCCUACGGGAGGCAGCAGUGGGGAAUAUUGCACAAUGGGCGAAAGCCUGAUGCAGCAACGCCGCGUGAGCGAUGAAGGCCUUCGGGUCGUAAAGCUCUGUCCUCAAGGAAGAUAAUGACGGUACUUGAGGAGGAAGCCCCGGCUAACUACGUGCCAGCAGCCGCGGUAAUACGUAGGGGGCUAGCGUUAUCCGGAAUUACUGGGCGUAAAGGGUGCGUAGGCGGUCUUUCAAGCCAGAAGUGAAAGGCUACGGCUCAACCGUAGUAAGCUUUUGGAACUGUAGGACUUGAGUGCAGGAGAGGAGAGUGGAAUUCCUAGUGUAGCGGUGAAAUGCGUAGAUAUUAGGAGGAACACCAGUAGCGAAGGCGGCUCUCUGGACUGUAACUGACGCUGAGGCACGAAAGCGUGGGAGCAAACAGGAUUAGAUACCCUGGUAGUCCACGCCGUAAACGAUGAGUACUAGGUGUCGGGGGUUACCCCCCUCGGUGCCGCAGCUAACGCAUUAAGUACUCCGCCUGGGAAGUACGCUCGCAAGAGUGAAACUCAAAGGAAUUGACGGGGACCCGCACAAGUAGCGGAGCAUGUGGUUUAAUUCGAAGCAACGCGAAGAACCUUACCUAAGCUUGACAUCCCAUUGACCUCUCCCUAAUCGGAGAUUUCCCUUCGGGGACAGUGGUGACAGGUGGUGCAUGGUUGUCGUCAGCUCGUGUCGUGAGAUGUUGGGUUAAGUCCCGCAACGAGCGCAACCCUUGCCUUUAGUUGCCAGCAUUAAGUUGGGCACUCUAGAGGGACUGCCGAGGAUAACUCGGAGGAAGGUGGGGAUGACGUCAAAUCAUCAUGCCCCUUAUGCUUAGGGCUACACACGUGCUACAAUGGGUGGUACAGAGGGUUGCCAAGCCGUGAGGUGGAGCUAAUCCCUUAAAGCCAUUCUCAGUUCGGAUUGUAGGCUGAAACUCGCCUACAUGAAGCUGGAGUUACUAGUAAUCGCAGAUCAGAAUGCUGCGGUGAAUGCGUUCCCGGGUCU